CAACAAGAGCGAUUGUUACAAAUUUUGAAAGGAAACUUUGACUCAUCUGUGACGUUAGAAAAUCGUAUCCAAAUAUUAAGCUGUCAAUCUUUAAGCUUACCUUCGCCAGUGCGAUAUCCUUUGGAUUGUGUAUUCAUGUUGUUAAUUGGUUUUGCUUUGUUUUGGAUGUUAUAGAAAAUGCUGAUAGCGGACUAGCGCAAGGAGACUGGUUUGUUGUUUGAUUUGUAAUUAUGAUGAUCAAACGAUGAUUGCUGUUUGUUGUUGUUGUGGUUAUAGUUGAUGGUGACGACGCGACAACGAUGAUGAUGAUGACGACGACGGAUGACGACGAGAAUGGUGAACGAUUUAAAUAGAG